GGAAAAAUCGCCUAAUGGUAUGGCAAUAGUUUGCUAAACUGCGGAUGUAUAACAUCCUUGGGGGUUCGAAUCCCCUUUUUUCCG
rnacentral:tRNA from 1 species